GACGAACGCUGGCGGCGUGCCUAAUACAUGCAAGUCGAACGCAGUGGGGACGGGUGAGUAACACGUGGGUAACCUCCCAUCAGAGGGGAUAACACUUGGAAACAGGUGCUAAACCGAUACUCAUGGCUUGACCCGCGGUGCAUUAGCUAGUGGGUGCGGUAACGGCUCACCACGGCCCCGAGGCAUAGCCGGCCUGAGAGGGGGAUCGGCCAAACUGGAACGGAGCCACGGCCCAGACUCCUACGUGAGGCAGCAGUAGGGAAUCUUCGGCAAUGGACGAAAGUCUGACCGAGCAACGCCGCGUGAGUGAAGAAGGUUUUCGGAUCGUAAAACUCUGUUGUUAGAGAAGCGGUAUCUAACCAGAAAGCCACGGCUAACUACGUGCCAGCAGCCGCGGUAAUAC
rnacentral:rRNA from 1 species